ensembl:miRNA Mir1247 microRNA 1247
CGGCCGCCGGGCGCACCCGUCCCGUUCGUCCCCGGACGUUGCUCUCUGCCCCGGGAACGUCGAGACUGGAGCGCCCGAACUG